UUUAUAUGAGAGUUUGAUCCUGGCUCAGGAUGAACGCUGGCGGCGUGCCUAAUACAUGCAAGUCGAACGAGUUCUGAUUAUUGAAAG
rnacentral:rRNA from 1 species